UGAUCAGGAGAACAAGUUGAAGCUUUGAUUUUUUUAAAAAGUCAAUAACACAAAACUUAUAACCACUUUUUUGAGCCAGUUUAGCCGCGUCCAUGAUAUAUGCAAACAUAGACAAAAAAAAUUCCCUCUAUAAUCCUCCACACGUUUUCGGCGUACAUAUUGCACACCAAGGUGCAAUUGCUAAGAAUAUUAGAUAUGUUUCCAACAAAACCAUAAAAACCCGUUUCAUAGAACAAUAAGAUUAGAUCGGGGUUCCUCUUGAAUGCCGUGGCUGCAAUAUCAUCUUCAAAAAAAAUCUUGCUUCCGUGAUGGACAGUCAUAAGGUCGUUGCCCUGCUGAAAAGAGCCACUGAGACCAAAGACAUACAUCUAGGCAGGCUUAUCCACGCUCUCCUUAUCAAGACUGAUUACCAGUGUAUGCCCAGUUCGGACUCUAACCGAAGACCUGCAAACACUUUCAACAGAGGCAACAGAGAAGACCAGUUUGAAGUUUCUUUACCAUCGGAAUCGGCUUCAAAGCCUGUUCCGGUGUAGCAGCUGCUGAAACAGGCGAACAGAUUCGUGCCCAUCUUGCAAAAGUCGAAUUAGAAGACGAGGUCUUUAGAACAAGCGCUGUGGUAGAUAUGCAUGGGAACUGGGGGAAUAAGAAGGAUGCACGCAAUCUGUUUGAGAAAAUGCCCGAAUGUGUCGAGGUGCCACGACGUCCUAGUGGCUUUCUUGACGUAAUGUAAAUGUGUAUCUAUUGAGGACGCUAUCUGUUUUAUUAAUGUGUUGCCUCCAUGGAUGGCGAGCUAUGGUAUUGGGCUUACUGAAAACCUGUGCAAAAUUCGCCCAAAAUUAUGCCAAAAUUUGCAGAAAACCAGCAGCACAGAACUUGUGAGUAAAACUUGUGAAAGCUCAGUGGUUUUCGUCAGCUGAAAGAUUGCCUGAGUACUCUGUGAGUUUGCCAUCUAUGCUUUUGUUCUUUUGAAGUGAGAGCAAUAAUCCACACAAUUUUUCCUUGCCAUAUUAAAGUCAACAUCUGCCAGCGUAUGGAUAAGCCCUGUUUAAGGAGCAAGCCUGAAAACUACUUACAGACCGAAACAGUUUCCAUUGCCAUCACAUCUUCAUCAUCUUUGCCGCAUUCUUUCUGGAAGGAAAGCAUUAGGAUCUCUUGCAAUUGGAACCUUAGACACUCAAGGAUAACAAAGCUCAGCUAAUUCAUAAAUUAAGGGUGUGAGAAAUCCAGACUAUGGCGAUUCUGCUUGAAAGAUAUUACCUGAUAAACUGUUGGCAUAAGCAAAAUCACUCUUUUCAGAUUGUCAGUCUCAUUUUAAAAUUUUACUGGAGUAUGAUUUUAUGUCCACCUACAUUUAUCGCACGGCUAUCCAUGCCUUGUCAGAUUAUCGCAUGUGCUUAAUGAAUUUUAUAUGAUGAUUUUUGAAUUUUGUAAAAGAUCAAAUGUCCAUAAAUUUUCAUACAGGUAGCAAACACGUUCACGUAAUUGUUUUCAAACAAGUGUUGUUCAAUGUAAGAAAAUG